GCUAAUACCGGAUAACAAACAGAUGAUGCCUAUCAACNGUUUAAAAGAAUGGUUCUGCUAUCACUCUUGGAUGGACCUGCGGUGCAUUAGCUAGUUGGUAGGGUAACGGCCUACCAAGGCGAUGAUGCAUAGCCGAGUUGAGAGACUGAUCGGCCACAUUGGGACUGAGACACGGCCCAAACUCCUACGGGAGGCAGCAGAG
rnacentral:rRNA from 1 species